rnacentral:miRNA from 1 species
AAUUUAGCCUCUUCUAGGCUUUGUCUGU